CAACUACUCGCACGCGCAAAAACUUGGUAUAUGGAUGCAACUUUUCGGGUGGUGAACAAGCCAUGGUCUCAGCUGUUUUCCAUACACGCCUUCAUUAAGACUGGAGAGACCACCCGACAGUUACCAUUGGUGUUUUGUGUAAUGUCGGGUAAAAGCCAAGACGACUAUUAUAAAUUUCCAUAUUAGAUGCCAUAGCAAAUCAAAGAUCAUAUAAUAAAAUAAGUCAAAAAACCCAAAUAUGGAAAAAGAAAGAGCUGAAGAAAUGGUGAUUUGAGCACCUAUGAUUUCUCAUAGGUGUUUUUGGAGGUUUCCAUAUUAGAUGCCAUAGCAAAUCAAAGAUCAUAUAAUAAAAUAAGUCAAAAAACCCAAAUAUGGGAAAAGAAAGAGCUGAAGAAAUGGUGAUUUGAGCACCUAUGA